AACUGGAUCAUGGGACUGUUUCUCACAUACUGUUCUUGUGGUAGUGAAUAAGUCUCAUGAGGUCUGAAGGUUUUAUAAGGGGUUUCUCCUUUCACUUGGCUCUCAUUCUCUCUUGCCUGUUGCCAUGUAAGAUGUGCCUUUUGCCUUCGAUCAUGAUUGUGAGGCUUCCCCAGCCACAUGGAACUCAGUUGAUUCAGAAUGUGAACUAUAAGGCGGCAAGUGAAUCAGUUUGGGAACCAGAAGUUCUUGAUUUAUGUCCCAGCACUUUCUGCUGAAGAUAUGACCCAUGGUGAAAGGAGUACAGCACAGUUUAUUAAGCGUGGGCGGCUUUGUAAGCAGUGGAAAUACAUUCAAAUACUCCAGGUUCUUCAACUUCGUGACUCGGACUGGCUUCUUUGCUCUGAAGAUUGCAGACAGCCUAUUGUGGGAGCUCACCUUGUGAUUGUGUUAUGUUUAAUUUCUUCACACCACUCAAAACUCAGCUUCUGAUUUCAAGAGUUCAACAACAGCCCUGAAGGAUUCUGUCUGCUUUACAGCUAUGUAAAAUAUGUUUAAUCUUCAGAUUCCUACAAGUUCCAGAUGACAAUGGAAUAUAAAAGACACAAGGCAGCUUCUGAAAAGCCACUCUGCCCUAAGAAGUCAGCCUACAUAAUUGAAGACAAGUGAUGUAAAUAAUUUGCCCUGUAUGCUGGUCCCAUGUUCCUGGACUUCUCAGUCUCCCCCAGAACUGUAAAAAAUAAAUUUCCUUUCUUUAUAAAUUACCCAGUCUGUGGUAUUCUGUUAUAGUAAAGGAAAACAAGCUAAGGCAUUAUGUUAAAUCUUGUAAAAAGAACCUCUUUCCUAUGAUUAGAGCUCCUCUCAUAUGCAUAUAGAAAUCCAAUGUUGAAGCUAUCAUAAUUCUACUGAACCAUCAACUUCAACCCACCCAGGUAAGAUUAUGCCUUCUUGAAUAUAAGAGAAACUUCCCCAAUCCCUUACCCAACCAAAAGGAUGAAUCUUCGAGAAAAAUAUCAAAAAGCCCUGCUUCAAAUCAGUAAAUAUUUGGUGGUAGGUGAGUGGUGUUUUCAAAUAAUAAAUACAAUCAUUCACUCUCUGUUAUGACUUUUUGAAGAUAAUUCAUUUUUGUUUUUCUUCUCUUAAGGGCUGAUUUAAACUUUCACAAAUGUAACAUCAUAUUGAAUCACAUCACAUUGAAUUUGUAAUGAAAAAAUGUGUUCCCCAGACGUCUUAUGACCUCUGAAACUUGGAAACCAAGUUGGCAACUGAGGAAAAAACUAUUAUUUCCAUCAAAAACUAUGGCAACAAAAACAUGGUCAUGUUCAUUUUAAUUACUUCUGCCAUUUUACUUGUCCCUCUUUCUAGUUAUCUUUCUUAAGAAUAUUAAUCAGUCUAAAGAGAAUAAAUGAUUUAUUAUUUUCAGAGAGGUAGGUGUUUUGAACAGAUCUUAGAGCCAUGUGGGUCAGUGUUGUCAAUCCCAGAUUUAUCUGUUUAAAAUGCAUGCCUCAUGGACUUACACUUAUUAAUGUUAUAAUGUAGGUAAGAAUCUUACCCAGUGCUCAGUACAUACUAAGUUGUGGGUAAAACCUGCUUAUUACUAAUUAUUCAACAAUUCACAGAAAAAUGGAAAAUUCAGUUGUUCAAAUUAUCACCAAUAUGGGUGUUUUCUUUAUAAUGUGAUAAGAUUAUUUGAAUUUUAUGACACAUAUGCCAUGAAUUUAAGAUAAGUAUAAUAUGGUUGCUUUAAGUUUUUCUUUUUCAAUUACAAUAAUAAUAAUACAAACCUCCUUAGAUCUAUACACUUGAGAUAUUUAAAACACAAUGUGUAUGCAAAACAUCAUAACCUGGUUCCUCAAAUCAACAAGGGACUAUGAGUUUUAUUUGUAUGAGAGGUCUUGGACCUGUGGUAUUUUGUUUACUACUUAUCACUUUUGAUGGCCACCCAUUUGAAUAGAGAUCUAAUCUGGCUCUGGGGGCAGGGAAGAUCUUGGGACAGGAAAACUACCCCUUUCUUUAGGAGAUGGCCCAUUGAUCUUUGCUUUUAUCAGCUCCUGCAACUAUCAUUUGAAGGUAAAGAUCAAGUUAUUUACAAAUUGCUUUAGAUUGAAAGGCAUUAGACUAGGCAAGGUGAAAAUUAAGAGCUUGUGAAUACAUUGUAGGUGGAAAUAAUUUUUGGAAACGAUUUCCCAGUAUAUAUAAUACACAAUUUCUAAAAUGAACAAAAGUUUGAAAUAAGUUUUAAAUAAGAUGUUGAAAAGAUGUAAGCGUAGCUGCUUUAAUCUUAAUCAAUGCAACUUGUGAUGAGGUAAUGAAGAGCAGGCAAUCAGUCAGAACCCAAUCUACCCAAAUGAAAUCUCAAACAACAGAGGAUAUUUUUUACUUUAGUUUGUGUUAAGAGAGAUGGGCAAUGUAAGUGCUAUGCAGAUUUAAUGUGCUAAUGAAAUAAAUUCAUCAAGAUUUAAAUUAUGGAGGAAAUUAAAAUAAGAAACUGUUCUGUACACAAAAGAGACUAUGUCCCAAGAGAAUAUCCAGCCUUGGUAAAGAACAACCCUAAUGAAUUUUAGAAUAGAUUUACAAAAUAUUAUAUAUCACCUGUUUUUAAAGACUUUUUAUUCUUUAGUUUCCUUAGUCAGUCCCUAGAAUUUUUAUUUAGGAAAGACCCUAGAAAUAGAAAUCUGAAAUGCUCAGCCAACAAAAGCUUUGUGAAGUUGUUUGCCCAGCCAAUGUAUUGUUGGUGGUUAGAUCAUUAGUCUACUACUUCGAUUUUGGGUGCUCAGUGAAGUACCUGGAGGCAUUCAAGGGUGUGAGCACAGAUAAUUUAAGGGAAUUAAUUUCUAAUUUAAAUAAUUUCAUCUUUUAUGUUAAAUAUUUCCUAAGGCCAUUUGAUGGAGCUUCAAGUUCUAAUUUUCUUUUUUUUUUCUUUUGAGAUGGAGUGUUGCUCUGUCGCCCAGGCUGGAGUGCAGUGGCAUGAUCUCGGCUCACUGCAAGCUCCGCCUCCCAGGUUCAUGCCAUUCUCCUGCCUCAGCCUCUCAAGUAGCUGGGACUACAGGCACCCGCCACCACGCCUGGCUAAUUUUUUUUGUAUUUUUUAGUAAAGACGGGGUUUCACCAUGUUAGCCAGGAUGGUCUCGAUCUCCUGAUCUCGUGAUCUGCCCUUCCUCAGCCUCCCAAAGUGCUGGGAUCACAGGCGUGAGCCACCAUGCCCAGCCCAAGUUCUAAUUUUCUGCCAUGUUAUAAUAAACCUCUCCCAAUUUUUCAAAGUAAAAUAUCUGUUGCCCAGCACUAAACUAGCAGGGUGAUUGCCCCAGAAAAUUACAAAGAUCCUAGGCAUCACUACUGAGACCAAUCAAAAUGUUUUUAUAAUGAUUUUGAAAAAAUAAAGAAUUUUAAUGACAGGAUAAAAAAUAAAUACAUUUGAAAAUCAAAUGAUUCCAACUAUCAGUUUUCAACAAAACUAAAGAAUUUACCUACUUGGAUUGUUUGUUGAUAGGCCACUUAAAAAUAAUAUUUGCUGAAGAAUUAGAAUGAGACAUUUACAAACACCUGAAAAGAGUUGAAAGAAUUCAAUGUCAUUGCUAGAAUAGCACACUUAUCCUCAUCUAUUUGUUUAUGUGGACAAGUUAUUUCAAUACCUACAUCUAUAAAGAUGAGUGUAUUAGUUCAUUUUCAUAUUGCUGUUACAGACAUGCCCGAGACUGGACAAUUUACAAAAGAAAGAAGUUUAUCAGACUUACAGUUCUAUGUGGCUGAGGAAACCUCACAAACAUGGCGGAAGUUGAAAGGCACAUCUCACAUGGUGGUAGACAAGAGAAGAGAACUUGUGUAGGGAAACUCUGAUUUUUAAAACCAUCAGAUCUGGCGAGACUCAUUCACUAUCAAGAGAACAGUGCAGGAAAGACCCGCCCCCAUAAUUCAAUCACCUCUCACCAGGUUCCUCCCAUGACAUGUGGGAAGUACAAUUCAAGAUGAGAUUUGCUUGGGGGCACAGCCAAACCAUAUUAUUCCACCACUGGCCUCUUCUAAAUCUCAUGUCCUCAUAUUUCAAAAACCAAUCAUGCCUUCCCAAUAGUCCUCCAUAGUCUUAACUCAUUUCAGCAUUAACUCAAAAGUCUACAGUACAAGGUCUCUUCUGAGACAAGUCAAGUCCCUUCUGCCUAUAAGCAUGUAAAAUCAAAAGCAAGUUAGUUACAUCCUAGAUACAAUGUGGGUACAGGCACUGGGUAAAUACAGCCAUUCCAAAUGGGAGAAAUUGGCCAAAACAAAGGGGCUACAACCCCAUGUAAGUCUGAAAUCCAGCAGAGCAGUCAAAUCUUGAAGCUCCAAAAUGAUAUUUUGACUCAAUGUCUUACAUCUCAGUCAUGCUGAUGCAAAAGAUUGCUUCCUGUGGUCUUAGGCAGCCUCGCUCCUGGCUGUUUCCAUGGGCUUGUGUUGAGUGUCUGUGGCUUUUCCAGGCUCACAGUGCAAGCUGUCAGUGAAUCUACAAUUCUGGGUUCUGUAGAAUGAUGUCCCUCUUCUCACAGCUCCACUAGGUAGUGCCCCAGUAGGGACUCUCUGUGGGGACUCCAAACCCACAUUUCCCUUCCAUGCUGCCCUAGCAGAGGUUGUAUAUGAGAGCCCUGCCCCUGAAGCAAACUUCUGCCUGGGCAUCCACUCGUUUCCAUACAUCCUCUGAAAUGUAGGCGGAGGUUCCCAAACCCCAAUUCGUCACUUCUGUGUACCAGCAGGGUCAACACCAUAUAGAAGCUGCCAAGGCUUGGGGCUUGAAUCCUCUGAAACCAUAGCCCAAGCUCUAGGUGUACCCCUUUCAGCCAUGGCUGGAGUAGCUGGGAUGUAGGGCACCAAGUCCUGCGCAUAGCACUGGGACCCUGGGCCCGACCCACAUAACCACUUUUUCCUCCUAGACCUCCAGGCCUGUGAUGGGAGGGGCUUGUGAAGAGCUUUGAAAUGCUUUGGAGACAUUUUCCCUGUUGUCUUUGGGAUUAACAUUUGGCUCCUAGUUACUUAGGCAAAUUUCUGCAGCUGGCUUGAAUUUCUCCUUAGGAAAUGGGAUUUUCUUUUCUAACGCAUUGUCUGGCUGCAUAUUUUCUAAACUUUUAUGCUGUGCUUCCCUUUUAAAACUGAAUAGCUUCAACAGCACCCAAGUCACCUCUUGAGUGCUUUACUGCUUGGAAAUUUAUUCCACCAGAAACCCUAAAUCAUCUCUCUCAAGUUCAAAGUUCCACAAAUCUCUAGGGCAGAGGCAAAAUGCUGCCAGUCUAUUUGCUACAACAUAACAAGAGUCACCUUUGCUCCAGUUCCUAAAAAGUUCCUCAUUUUUAUCUGUGACCACCUCAGCCUAGACUUUAUUGCCCAUAUUUCUAUUAGCAUAUUGGUCAAAGGCAUUCAACCAGUCUCUAGGAGGUUCCAAACUUUCCAACAUUUUCCUGUCUUCUUCUGAGCCCUCCAAACUGUUCCAACCUCUGCUUGUUACCCAGUUCCAAAGUGGCUUCCACAAUUUCAGGUAUCGUUUCAUCAGUGCCCCACCCUACUGGUACCAAUUUACUGUAUUAGUCCAUUUUCAUGCCACUGAUAAAGACACACUUGAAACUGUGCAAUUUAAAAAUAAAGAGGUUUACUGGACUUACAGUUCCACAUGGCUAGGGAGACAUCACAAUUAUGACAGAAGGUAAAAGGUCCAUCUGACAUGGUGGCAGACAAGAGAAGAGAGCUUGUAUAGGGAAAUUCCCAUUUUUAAAACCAUCAGAUCUCGUGAGACUCAUUCAUUAUCAUGAGAACAGUGCAGGAAAGACCUGCCCCAUAAUUCAACCACCUCCUACUGGGUUCCUCCCAUGACACAUGAGAAUUGUGGGAGUUACAAUUCAAGAUUAGAUUUGAGUGAGCGCACAGCCAGACCAUGUCAAUGACCUAAAAAAUAGUAAGAAUAGAAUGUAUGGUAAACUCUGUCCCAUUGUAAUAAUAAAUUAAUCAUUAAUAUAAAUUACGUUCUCAUAGAGAGCUGUGUUUUCAAAAAUCACUUUAAUUUGUUAAAGUUGUUUAUGAAAACAUGAUAAGUUUACAUCAUUUAUAACAGGGACUAAUAAUUACUAGAAGAAUAACUUACUCUUGAUUUUUUUUAUUUACAGAU
rnacentral:lncRNA from 1 species